UACGAAGGGGGCGAGCGUUGUUCGGAAUUACUGGGCGUAAAGGGCGCGCAGGCGGCUCUGAAAGUCAGAUGUGGAAGCCCCGGGCUUAACCUGGGAAUUGCAUUGAUACUCUGGAGCUUGAGUGUGGGAGAGGAGAGUGGAAUUCCCAGUGUAGAGGUGAAAUUCGUAGAGUAUUGGGAAGAACACCGGUGGCGAAGGCG
rnacentral:rRNA from 1 species